GGCGGCGUGCCUAACACAUGCAAGUCGAGCGAGGAGAUCCUUCGGGAUGAUCCUAGCGGCGGACGGGUGAGUAACACGUGGGCAACCUGCCUCAUAGAGAGGAAUAGCCUUCCGAAAGGGAGAUUAAUACCUCAUAACAUUGCAGUUUCGCAUGGAACAGCAAUUAAAGGAGUAAUCCGCUAUGAGAUGGGCCCGCGGCGCAUUAGCUAGUUGGUGAGGUAAUGGCUCACCAAGGCGACGAUGCGUAGCCGACCUGAGAGGGUGAUCGGCCACAUUGGGACUGAGACACGGCCCAGACUCCUACGGGAGGCAGCAGUGGGGAAUAUUGCACAAUGGGGGAAACCCUGAUGCAGCCAACGCCGCGUGAGUGAUGACGGCCUUCGGGUUGUAAAGCUCUGUCUUCAGGGACGAUAAUGACGGUACCUGAGGAGGAAGCCACGGCUAACUACGUGCCAGCAGCAGC
rnacentral:rRNA from 1 species